rfam:Oesophagostomum dentatum strain OD-Hann O_dentatum-1.0_Cont2238.3, whole genome shotgun sequence.
GCUCAUUCUUGAAUAUAUACGAAAACUGAAACAAUACAGAUAAGAUUAGCAUGGUCCCUGCGCAAGGAUGACACCAAAUUCGUGAAGCGUUCCAAUACGGC